rnacentral:lncRNA from 1 species
CGCUGUCGUGUGCUUUAGUUAAAUUAGUUGCUAGUUUAUGUUAUUGUUUUCACAGUUCAGAACUUCUGUUUGUUUGCAAUUAAGUCCUACUGGUGGUUAAUCGUGGGAGUGUGCUGUUGAGAUCAUGGCUGAUCUCAAGGCCACAGAAUUAUGACUUUUAAUGAAGAUUCCUGCAACUAAUUUCAAUUGUCAGUUUGCUUAUCCUGUGCCUUAACAUGUGAUAUCAGAGCCCUAACAAACUGUAACCAAAUCAACAGAAUUGAGUGAUAGAAAAGAGAGGUGAGUUGAAAGUAUUGUGAGUAGAACUUGUGAGUGUUAGAACAAACUCGUGAGAAGAAGAAACAAGCAAAAUAUGGCAGAGAGUUUUGCAGCAGUGAGUAUCCCCAAGUAUGAUGGAGAUUACGAUCAUUGGAGCCUCUUAAUGGAGAAUCUAUUG